UACGUAGGGCGCAAGCGUUGUCCGGAAUUAUUGGGCGUAAAGAGCUCGUAGGUGGCUUGUCGCGUCUGUCGUGAAAGCCCGGGCUUAACUCCGGGUCUGCGGUGGAUACGGGCAGGCUAGAGGCAGGUAGGGGAGAAUGGAAUUCCCGGUGUAGCGGUGAAAUGCGCAGAUAUCGGGAGGAACACCGGUGGCGAAGGCGGUUCUCUGGGCCGGCCCUGACACUGAGACGCGAAGGCGUGGGGAGCGAACGGG
rnacentral:rRNA from 1 species